UGGUUCUGGCAUCGAUGAAGAACGCAGCGAAAUGCGAUAAGUAAUGCGAAUUGCAGAAUUUUUGUGAGUCAUCGAAUCUUUGAACGCACAUUGCGCCCUUUGGUAUUCCGAAGGGCAUGCCUGUCCGAGCGUCAUUAUCACCCCUCAAGCCCCGCGCUUGGUGUUGGACGGCCUGGUCGUGACCCCUCUCGGGCGCCGCGACCCCUCCCAAAGACAAUGACGGCGGCCUCGUUGGACCCCCGGUACACUGAGCUUCUUAACCGAGCACGUACCGGACCAAGUGGUCUCGGGGACCCGGUCUCUCAUAACUUUGUUAUAUUUUCUCAAGGUUGACCUCGGAUCAGGUAGGGAUACCCGCUGA
rnacentral:misc_RNA from 1 species